rnacentral:rRNA from 1 species
UUAAUGUAAUAAUAUUAAAUACAACCUGCUCAAUGACAUAAAUAGCCGCAGAAAAUUUACUGUGCUAAGGUAGCAUAAUCAAUUGUCUUUUAAUUAAAGACUAGAAUGAAAGGAUUAACAAUUAAAUAAUUUUUUUAACAAAAAAAAUCUAAACUCUAAUAAGAAUAAAAAUAUACUUAUAUUCAUAAAAGACGACAAGACCCCAUCGAACUUAACUGAAGUUAAGCUGGGGAAGCUAUUUAAUUAUUACUGUAAAACCAAUAAUUAUAUAAAAAACCAAUAAAAAUGAAUUAUAAUUAAGUUACCGUGGGGAUAACAGCGUAAUAAUUCUCUAAAGCUCUUAUUUAAAGAAUAGAUUACGACCUCGAUGUUGAAUUAAUUUAUCUUUCUAGUGCAAAAACUAAAAUAAGUAAGUCUGUUCGACUUUUAAAAAAUUACAU